UUAAUAAGCGGAGGAAAAGAAACUAACAAGGAUUCCCUCAGUAAUGGCGAAUGAAGUGGGAAUGGCUCAAGCUUGAAAUCACUGUUGCAUGCAACAGCGAAUUGUAGUCUCGAGAAGCGUCUUCCCGGCGGAUCUUCCCUGCCUAAGUUGCUUGGAACAGGACAUCGAAGAGGGUGACAAUCCCGUUUGUGGCAAGGCAGACCGUCUACAAUACGCUUUCCAUGAGUCGGGUUGCUUGGGAAUGCAGCCCAAAAUUGGUGGUAAACUCCAUCUAAAGCUAAAUAUUGACAUGAGACCGAUAGCGAACAAGUACCGUGAGGGAAAGAUGAAAAGAACUUUGAAAAGAGAGUUAAAAAGUGCGUGAAACCGUUAGAGGGGAAGCGGAUGCAGCUAGCAAUGCUUCUGUGAGAUUCAGGCGGUCGCACGGUCAGACGUGCAGAUGGUGGAUCUGAAUGGACCUUCGCUACAUGGCCGGGUCUUGUGCCCGUCGCACUUCUCGCAGGAGCGCGUCAACAGCUGCUGAGCCUGAUGAACAUGGCUUCGCGGAAGGUAGGCAGAUGGUUUUCCAUCGGUUAUUAUAGUCGCGGGUGCCUAGCUCUGGCUUGGCAGAGGUGAGCGGUGCAUGCUCUCUGAUCGGAGAGGGCUGGCGUCCUGUCUCAUUCACUUAGCUGGCUUGGGUGUACUGCGUGCAGUACGUCUUGGCAGGCGAAAGGAAGUUCGAGCAGUCAACGCACACGAUGUGCCCUGGUUGUUGGUGGCAAUAUGGCUUUAUCCGACCCGUCUUGAAACACGGACCAAGGAGUCUAACAUGUGCGCAAGUCUUGGGGUGACCGAAACCCAGAGGCGCAAUGAAAGUGAAAGCUGCCUGGCAGCCGAGGUGAGAUCUUUGCUCCACUUGAGUAGUGAGGCGCAUCAUCGACCGACCUAUUCUAAGAACCCUUAGGAAGGUUUGAGUAAGAGCGUACAUGCUGGGACCCGAAAGAUGGUGAACUAUGCCUGAGUAGGGUGAAGCCAGAGGAAACUCUGGUGGAAGCUCGUAGCGAUUCUGACGUGCAAAUCGAUCGUCGAACUUGGGUAUAGGGGCGAAAGACUAAUCGAACCAUCUA
rnacentral:rRNA from 1 species